rnacentral:rRNA from 1 species
AAACAUUGUUUAUAUAAUUAUCAUAAAUAUAACCUGCUCAAUGAAAAAAUUUAAAUAGCUGCAAAUUUUGUACUAAGGUAGCAUAAUCAUUUGUUUUUUAAUUUAAAACUAGAAUGAAAGGUAAAACAAAUCAUCUCUUUAUUUUAUAUUUUAUUUUAACUUAUAUUAAAUAUAAAAAUAUAUUUUUUUAAAAAAAAGACGACAAGACCCUAUUGAACUUUACUUUAGUUUAGCUGGGGAAGCUAAAUAAUAAAUAUUUUAUUAUAAAUUUUAUAAAUGACCCAAAACAUUUGAUUAAUUAAUCAAGUUACCAUAGGGAUAACAGCGCAAUAAAUUUUUAAAGUUCUUAUAUAAAAAUUUGCUUACGACCUCGAUGUUGAAUUAGAAAUCUUUAUUAAGCAAAAAUA